rnacentral:tRNA from 1 species
CUUCUUUUUUAUACACAGGCUAUUCGUUUAUUUUUAGCUGAAAUAUUUUGGUUUAAGUGUACUAAAAAAGAGGUC